AAAACUUCUUCACAUGGUGUCAUGUUCUAGGUGUAACCCACAUAAAGUGGGGAUAGCCUUUUGGGAAAUAGAGAUUGGGUAGGCGGGGUGGUCUGCCUGGCCAAUGGGAAGUUUGAUUCCCAUGAAUGUUUAGACCAAUCAGAGAGCGGAAUGCCACAGAGGUUCCACCUUCUUUCUCGUGUUGGCAGCGUUGAUUGUGAGCGGGAGAUCCGACCCUGAUCAGACAGCUGAGCCAGAAACCACUAAGAUCAGUUGGAACUGUUGCACUUUCUGGCAGUUGAUUGGCAGUUGUUUUCAGUUCAACUGAAGUGCCCUCCGUGUCUGGAAUGAGAGUCCCUGUCUAGUUGUUUUGAACGUGCUGCACUGAGAUCGGUGAGCAUAUUUUGUAGCUUUCAUUUGGUUUUUGUUCUUUUAUCUUGUUGUCAAAUAAUGAUCUUUAUUUGACCUACUUAGUUAUUAAAAUGUGAACCUUUGCUGAGUUUGUGUAAAAUGUAAUGUUUUAUUAUUGUUCUUGGAAAAGGAUUUUUCGAACAGUUAUGAAACAUAAUAAGCUAGAAUGGUUUAAUAAUAAUUCUAUGUUUCUGCUGGUCUUGUCUGUUGACAGAUCA